rnacentral:rRNA from 1 species
GCAAGUCGAGGGGUAACAUAAAUGCUUGCACUUUGAUGACGACCGGAGCACGGGUGCGCACCGCGUAUGGAACCUACCUUUUACAGGGGAAUAGUUUUUGGAAACGAAGAUUAAUGCCCCAUGGUACCUUCAGUAGCAUUGCUGGACGGUUAAGGGCUUGGGCCGGUAGAAGAUGGUCAUGCGUCCCAUUAGCUUGAUGGUAAGGUAACGGCUUACCAUGGCAACGAUGGGUAGGGGCCCUGAGAGGGGGAUC